UCUGGGUACCAAUGCAACACAGCUGAAGUAAUUUGUUGCCUUCAAUCCAUUGAUAAUAGAGCCAUGUCUCGCAAAGCUAAUCAUGGGUAUGAUUACGACGACGACAUUUACGAAGAUUAUGAUGAAGAUUAUGCAUAUGAUUAUGAAGAUGAUGACGAUGAUAAUGUUCAUGUAGAGCAUUCUGAUGAAGUAGUAGUGAAUAAGGAAGCAAAUAAGUCCGGGGUUU